GACGAACGCUGGCGGCGUGCUUAACACAUGCAAGUCGAGCGAUGAAGCUCCUUCGGGAGUGGAUUAGCGGCGGACGGGUGAGUAACACGUGGGUAACCUGCCUCAUAGAGGGGAAUAGCCUUUCGAAAGGAAGAUUAAUACCGCAUAAGAUUGUAAUGCCGCAUGGCAUAGCAAUUAAAGGAGCAAUCCGCUAUGAGAUGGACCCGCGUCGCAUUAGCUAGUUGGUGAGGUAACGGCUCACCAAGGCGACGAUGCGUAGCCGACCUGAGAGGGUGAUCGGCCACAUUGGGACUGAGACACGGCCCAGACUCCUACGGGAGGCAGCAGUGGGGAAUAUUGCACAAUGGGGGAAACCUUGAUGCAGCAACGCCGCGUGAGUGAUGACGGUCUUCGGAUUGUAAAGCUCUGUCUUUAGGGACGAUAAUGACGGUACCUAAGGAGGAAGCCACGGCUAACUACGUGCCAGCCGCCGCGGUAACAC
rnacentral:rRNA from 1 species